rnacentral:rRNA from 1 species
AAUGGGUCAGCGACUUAUAUUCUGUAGCAAGGUUAACCGAAUAGGGGAGCCGAAGGGAAACCGAGUCUUAACUGGGCGUUAAGUUGCAGGGUAUAGACCCGAAACCCGGUGAUCUAGCCAUGGGCAGGUUGAAGGUUGGGUAACACUAACUGGAGGACCGAACCGACUAAUGUUGAAAAAUUAGCGGAUGACUUGUGGCUGGGGGUGAAAGGCCAAUCAAACCGGGAGAUAGCUGGUUCUCCCCGAAAGCUAUUUAGGUAGCGCCUCGUGAAUUCAUCUCCGGGGGUAGAGCACUGUUUCGGCAAGGGGGUCAUCCCGACUUACCAACCCGAUGCAAACUGCGAAUACCGGAGAAUGUUAUCACGGGAGACACACGGCGGGUGCUAACGUCCGUCGUGAAGAGGGAAACAACCCAGACCGCCAGCUAAGGUCCCAAAGUCAUGGUUAAGUGGGAAACGAUGUGGGAAGGCCCAGACAGCCAGGAUGUUGGCUUAGAAGCAGCCAUCAUUUAAAGAAAGCGUAAUAGCUCACUGGUCGAGUCGGCCUGCGCGGAAGAUGUAACGGGGCUAAACCAUGCACCGAAGCUGCGGCAGCGACACUAUGUGUUGUUGGGUAGGGGAGCGUUCUGUAAGCCUGUGAAGGUGUACUGUGAGGUAUGCUGGAGGUAUCAGAAGUGCGAAUGCUGACAUAAGUAACGAUAAAGCGGGUGAAAAGCCCGCUCGCCGGAAGACCAAGGGUUCCUGUCCAACGUUAAUCGGGGCAGGGUGAGUCGACCCCUAAGGCGAGGCCGAAAGGCGUAGUCGAUGGGAAACAGGUUAAUAUUCCUGUACUUGGUGUUACUGCGAAGGGGGGACGGAGAAGGCUAUGUUGGCCGGGCGACGGUUGUCCCGGUUUAAGCGUGUAGGCUGGUUUUCCAGGCAAAUCCGGAAAAUCAAGGCUGAGGCGUGAUGACGAGGCACUACGGUGCUGAAGCAACAAAUGCCCUGCUUCCAGGAAAAGCCUCUAAGCAUCAGGUAACAUCAAAUCGUACCCCAAACCGACACAGGUGGUCAGGUAGAGAAUACCAAGGCGCUUGAGAGAACUCGGGUGAAGGAACUAGGCAAAAUGGUGCCGUAACUUCGGGAGAAGGCACGCUGAUAUGUAGGUGAAGCGACUUGCUCGUGGAGCUGAAAUCAGUCGAAGAUACCAGCUGGCUGCAACUGUUUAUUAAAAACACAGCACUGUGCAAACACGAAAGUGGACGUAUACGGUGUGACGCCUGCCCGGUGCCGGAAGGUUAAUUGAUGGGGUUAGCGCAAGCGAAGCUCUUGAUCGAAGCCCCGGUAAACGGCGGCCGUAACUAUAACGGUCCUAAGGUAGCGAAAUUCCUUGUCGGGUAAGUUCCGACCUGCACGAAUGGCGUAAUGAUGGCCAGGCUGUCUCCACCCGAGACUCAGUGAAAUUGAACUCGCUGUGAAGAUGCAGUGUACCCGCGGCAAGACGGAAAGACCCCGUGAACCUUUACUAUAGCUUGACACUGAACAUUGAGCCUUGAUGUGUAGGAUAGGUGGGAGGCUUUGAAGUGUGGACGCCAGUCUGCAUGGAGCCGACCUUGAAAUACCACCCUUUAAUGUUUGAUGUUCUAACGUUGGCCCGUUAUCCGGGUUGCGGACAGUGUCUGGUGGGUAGUUUGACUGGGGCGGUCUCCUCCUAAAGAGUAACGGAGGAGCACGAAGGUUGGCUAAUCCUGGUCGGACAUCAGGAGGUUAGUGCAAUGGCAUAAGCCAGCUUGACUGCGAGCGUGACGGCGCGAGCAGGUGCGAAAGCAGGUCAUAGUGAUCCGGUGGUUCUGAAUGGAAGGGCCAUCGCUCAACGGAUAAAAGGUACUCCGGGGAUAACAGGCUGAUACCGCCCAAGAGUUCAUAUCGACGGCGGUGUUUGGCACCUCGAUGUCGGCUCAUCACAUCCUGGGGCUGAAGUAGGUCCCAAGGGUAUGGCUGUUCGCCAUUUAAAGUGGUACGCGAGCUGGGUUUAGAACGUCGUGAGACAGUUCGGUCCCUAUCUGCCGUGGGCGCUGGAGAACUGAGGGGGGCUGCUCCUAGUACGAGAGGACCGGAGUGGACGCAUCACUGGUGUUCGGGUUGUCAUGCCAAUGGCACUGCCCGGUAGCUAAAUGCGGAAGAGAUAAGUGCUGAAAGCAUCUAAGCACGAAACUUGCCCCGAGAUGAGUUCUCCCUGACUCCCUGAGAGUCCUGAAGGAACGUUGAAGACGACGACGUUGAUAGGCCGGGUGUGUAAGCGCAGCGAUGCGUUGAGCUAACCGGUACUAAUGAACCGUGAGG